rnacentral:lncRNA from 1 species
GGGCAGCCAGAGCUCCGAGGCUCUCCGGGGCGACGUGACCGCCGCAGAGGCAGCAGGCACUCCCCACGCGAAAGCCAACGGACAGGAGGGUGGCCACGUGAAAAGCAAUGGUGACAUCCCCCAAGGGUGAAGGGGAGUAGGCCCCUGUGAACAGAAGAGGCAGCCGGGACCAUUGGCAAUGCCAUGGAGCCAGCACCCCCUAGCCAGGGUGCUGAGGCCAAAGGGGAGGCUCCCUCCCUCGCAAGGAGACUUCCAAGAAGACGAAAUUGCCUUUCAAGGCCAGGCACGGUGGCUCACGCCUGUAAUCCCUUCAUUUUGGGAGGCCAAGACAGGGGUGAUCGCUUGAGCCCAGGAGUUCGAGACCAGACUGGGCAACAUGGCGAAAACCCGUCUCUACAAAAAUACAAUAAAAUAGCGUUGAUAGUAGAGUGGAGAGCAUAGCUGCCUUCCAAAAAAAAAAAAAAAAAAAAAAAAGCUGAGUGUGCUGGGGUUGUGAUCUCAGCUACUCGGGAGGCUGAGGUGGGAGGAUCGGCUUGAGCCUGGGGAGGUCGAAGCUGCAGUGAGCCGAGAUUGCGCCACUGCACUCUAGCUUGGGUAACAGAGUGAUACCCUGUCUAAAAUAAAUAAAUAAAUAAAUAAAUAAAUAAAUAAAUAAAUAAAUAAAUAAUUAUCUUUCAAGAAGGGUUUCUAAGAGCAGCUUGUCCUUCAAGAGAAAUGGGAAGGAGGGUGGGGUGACUCUUCUGCCUCCUCACCUAUGGAGGAAGAACAGGAGUGGGGGAAGAUCAAUGCCUGCAGCGACAAGGGCGCUGCCCAGGAAGGGAAGGCUGUUGCCACCCCUGAGAGCCAGGAGCCCCAGGCCAAGGGCGCAGAGGCAGUACUGCCUCAGAAGAAGAGGCAGGGCCCCAAGCUACAGAGCUGUCCACUCCCUCGGGGCGGAGAGUGGCCCUACACCAGCCCACGCUGAGCAGAAUGAGUA